rnacentral:rRNA from 1 species
UACGUAGGGUGCGAGCGUUGUCCGGAAUUAUUGGGCGUAAAGAGCUUGUAGGCGGUUUGUCGCGUCUGCCGUGAAAAUCCGGGGCUCAACCCCGGACUUGCGGUGGGUACGGGCAGACUAGAGUGUGGUAGGGGAGACUGGAAUUCCUGGUGUAGCGGUGAAAUGCGCAGAUAUCAGGAGGAACACCGAUGGCGAAGGCAGGUCUCUGGGCAGUAACUGACGCUGAGGAGCGAAAGCGUGGGGAGCGAACAGG